rnacentral:SRP_RNA from 1 species
CGCAAUGGUGGCCCUGUCGGUCCCCCCGCAACGAUUACCCGUCAACCUGGUCAGGUCCGGAAGGAAGCAGCCACAGCGGGAACAUCGUGUGCCGGGGUGUGGCUGGCGGGGCCGCCUCCAUUUCCUAAGUCCUUAAUUCUAAAGGGCUUUCUCUGCUGAAAAUCUCGAAGUGUGACAGCGUUUAGGUAUACCUGAGUGGUGCACCAUGCUGAGCGAUUUUAUCGCCAAAUUCAUCGACAGUUAAUCCUUAGAUGUACCUCCCUUUACAUGGUUUGACCUCG